UCUGUGAUGGGCAAUGCUGUUGCUGUUGACGCAUCCGGUUGUUGUAGAGGGAAAGUGUGAAGGUGAAAGUAGUGUUGAAAUUUAAAUAGUGUUGGCAAUACUACAGAGGAAGUGAUCGGUAACCAGUAAGGGGAAGAGGUCUGUUGCUGGGAAAUCAUUGGUGGUUGUGUGGAAGCGCGUCUCACUCUCUUCAACGAUGCAUGAUCGGUAAAUUUGAAAGGAAAUUAAAUCCGAAAAUGAGGAAAUCAAACAAAUCAUAAAAGAAGGUAGAUGGUUGGACAAGUGCUAUUGCUGGCACUACAACAAACACUAAGGCCAACAUCAUCAUGGAUAGAUAGACGUACUCAAGGCACUUGCAUCCAGGCAAACGGCCCAUAACGUUAGCCCUAUGACUAGAAAGAUAUGUUUUGGCUUGAUCGGCAGCAUCGGCACAUCACAUCACAAGGCAUCGAAAGGGAUAGAGAGAGAGAGGCAUUGGUGGUGAUGGUGUUGGUGGCAUUGACCGUCUUUUUGGUUCAAGCGGUCGGUGUUUGUUAUGGCCAAGAGUUGCAAUUCCCAUGAAAGUGAGCAAACAUCAGCAGCAGCACUUUAAGAUUACCAUGGUCACCACUGGGCCGCUUGAAGCAGAUAACUCAUAAGGUAUUAAGAUGUUAAGAAUGGCUAUGAUGAUGGUUUUGUUGUUUAACGUAUAGUUCACUUUUGUUUUUGGUUUUUCUAUUAAUGUUUAUUUAAGAAAUUUCUCAAAUCGUUGAUGCAUUUUAUAACUUUUUCAGGUUGAGUGAAGAAAGUGAAUAAAAAGACGUUGGCGGUUACACUGGCAAAAAAAAUUAAAUCAAGAAAAUUUUGAGGAUAGUUCUUGCACUGUACUCUAUACUCUUCCCUGCACUCUACUCUACACUCUAGAGUAAAUUCUAGUCUACACUAAACUCUACUGUACUCUACACUCUUUUCUGCACUCUACGUGUAUUACACACAAAAAUAUGCAACACAUACAGACAACCUUAAUUAUGCAAGUAUAUUGAGGAUCGGCACGAAUCACAUAAUUAAAUGGCAGGUGCAGUGGUCAUCUGUGUGCUUAAUCCCACAACCACUUGAGCCAGGAUCAGUCAAAGCAAGGGUAAAGACCAUGAAACUGGAUGCCAGGAUUUUCAAGCCAAUAAAGGCGAUUGCCGUUGUAAAUGUUCUUACACACAACAAUGUGUUGUUUGGCCUGAAAGCCUUAGCAAAAUAUUUAAAUUGGUUUCGUUACACACACAAAAACUCUUAGAGCAUAUGCCCUUUGUCACUGAAGGAAUUAAAACCUAGGCAUUUAACAUCCACUUAUUUGCUCGAUCUCUUAACCUUUUUUAAGGAAUGCCUAUUUAACAAAAAGGAAACUAUUUAGGAGUUUUCCAUAGCCUUGUGAGUGUGGGGCAAUGUUUACUCGCAGACAUUUGCCCUGUAUGGCAGGGAUAAAAUGAUGCAGAUGUGUGCUGAGGUCUUACAUUGAUGCUGGAUGACCGACCAAACGACCGAUUGGGUCUUGCGUUCAGCCUCAACGAAACUGGAGAACCUUUGUACACUGAGUAUCUCUUGAAUUGAAACACAACUAACAUUUCGAAUGGAUGGGAGAUGCAUUGAACAAAUAUUGAAAUAGUUUCGUAUUCAAAUAUAACGAAUUUAGAGAGAGAGGCCUAUGCUCUUUAACACAACAUUGUGAUUUGAAUGGAAGAUCCAGUGGAAUGGUUUUGAAUACUGAUUUAUAUAUUGUAG